rnacentral:tRNA from 1 species
UGGGAUGGAGCUCAGUGGUACAGCACUUGCCUUGUAUCCAUGAGGCCCUGGGUUCCACCCCAGUAUCACAG